rnacentral:rRNA from 1 species
UGAGGAAUAUUGGGCAAUGCCCGCAAGGGUGACCCAGCAACGCCGCGUGGAGGAUGAAUGUCGUAAGAUUGUAAACUCCUGUUAGAGGGGAAGAAUAGUACCGGUGGGACCGGUAUAUGACUGUACCCUCAGAGAAAGCCCCGGCUAACUACGUGCCAGCAGCCGCGGUAAUACGUAGGGGGCAAGCGUUGUCCGGAUUUACUGGGUGCAAAGGGCGCGCAGGCGGGAUAAAAAGUCAGUGGUGAAAUCCUACAGCUUAACUGUAGAACUGCCUUUGAUACUUUUAUUCUUGAGUUCGGGAGAGAGAGACGGAAUUCCAGGUGUAGUGGUGAAAUACGUAGAUAUCUGGAAGAACACCAGUUGCGAAGGCGGUCUCUUGGUCCGACACUGACGCUGAGGCGCGAAAGCGUGGGGAGCAAACA